rnacentral:rRNA from 1 species
UACGGGGGGGGCAAGCGUUGUUCGGAAUUACUGGGCGUAAAGGGCUCGUAGGCGGCCAACUAAGUCAGACGUGAAAUCCCUCGGCUUAACCGGGGAACUGCGUCUGAUACUGGAUGGCUUGAGUUUGGGAGAGGGAUGCGGAAUUCCAGGUGUAGCGGUGAAAUGCGUAGAUAUCUGGAGGAACACCGGUGGCGAAGGCGGCAUCCUGGACCAACACUGACGCUGAGUGAGCGAAAGCCAGGGGAGCAACGGGG